CUUCUACCGCCACAGCGACAGGGUCAGAUCCUUAACCCAUGGUGCCACAGUGGGAACUCCUAUUUCUUUACACUUUGAUUCUUGGUUUGGCUUUUUGAUUCCUUUGAGCCAGUGAGACAUGAGCAAGCAUGGAAUAAGCAGUGGCAUGACCAAUGCUUGUUCACUGGGACUUCUCUCUUUUGCUAUUUUUGGAACCAAGCUGCCACAUAAAAAAGCCCAGAGUAGCCUGCUAAACACUGGAGGCUUGUGACCUAGUUAUUCAGUUGCCUUAGUCAAUCACCGGACAUGCCCGUGAGCCAUCCAGGACCACCAGCCCCCAGUCAAUCCACCAGCUGACUACUACCAGGUGAGCGGGCCCAGAAAGCUGCCUGUGCUUUAAGGAAGACUGUAUACACCGUCUUUAGAGCCUUUGGGGAAAGAAUGAAGAAUUAUGCUCCCUGGCUGCAUCUAAGAAAACAAACAUACAAAUAAUCAAAAGAAAUAAAAAGAAUCCUACUGGCAAACUCAUCUAGUUAAACUACAUUCCACAGUGGAGGGGCAGGAACAGCUUCUUUCCUCCUUUCCUAGAAGGCAAAAAUAGAGACAAAAGCAGUAAGAAAAGGACAGCAUUAUAGCUUCCUGUUCAGCUAAUAUGAUUGUUUCAUCACAAAUAUUUUUUAGUUGCUGCAGUGCUUCAACAGACAACAUAAACUGAACUAACAGACCAGGAAUUAAGCCAAGAACUCUUCAGAGGCCAUCUGAUUUAAUUCUCCCUGCACUUCUGGGAAGAGAAUGUGCUCUGAUGCCCAUGGUACAAACGAAGAAACUGGACUUAAACCGCUUAAAUAACUUGCCCAGGAGAAUAUUUAACUAGUAAAGUGGUGGGGCUGGAAUUUGAAUCCAGGCAGUCUAGAUUCCAAACCACGGGUCUACACUCUUAACUAAAGUGCUACACUGCUUCCUAAAUGAAGAGCUGGAACAAAA